UGGGACGGGCGUGUAAAACACUCUUAUGAUUCUUACUUGACAGAUAAGGAAACUGAGUCUGGGUUGGGCAAGUGAGGGACCUGGGGCUUGAAUCAAGACUGUUCCUGGCUCUGACCUGUGAGGCUCUGUGGGCACCCUGACUUCCAGGGAAUCAUGGAACUCUGAAGAUGCAGCUGAAGUCAGGCUAGGUGAGCCUGGGGACAUUCUGAGGAUGACAGAGAGACGCCCGUGUACAUGUGAUGCAUUGAACGGCAGCCCAAGGAGACAUCUCUAACCACGGCCAUGGGCACUGGAACUGGGUGAAAAGGAGAGUCGGGUAAAGGCUUUUUUGGGUCAUGUUGGGAUCAACCAGGAGAAGAGUGCAGAUAGAAGGAUGCGGCCACAAGCCAAGACCUUCCUGGGCCCCAGAGCAGUCAGAGACGGGAAGGAGUCUCCCUGGGGAUCAAGGUGGUUGCUGACACCUUCCUUUCAGACUCUGGAGCAGGUGGCUGGGACUUUUCUUACUUGCGAAGACAGAGACAGCAAAUGGCCUCCUGAAACGGGAGCUUCCUGGAAGUGUCCCAAGAUUAAGUGUUCUAUAAAUGCUCCCCUCUUGGUUGGAACAGAAAAAUUAAAAUGUCUUUUGAUGCAACAAAGAGAGGAGCCAGUGGGACAAUGUCUUCACUGAGUGUCUGAGAAAGAAAAGCGAUUUUGAUUGGGCACAGCGCUGGACAUGGUGAGAAAUGAAAGUUUCCAGGGCCCUUGGCUGGUUAGUCCCUUCACAGCCAGCGGCUGAUGCGGGGCCCCUCACCCACAGUGUGGAGCUGCUUCUCUUUCCAUCAAGCCCAGAAAGUGGGGAGUUGAACACAAGAGUGGGGGCUACUGCACUCCAGACAAAGAGAGAAAAGGCCUGUUCAAUACUGGGUGGGACUAAUUAUUUGGGGUUUUGUGUGGUGCUGGGGAUUAAAUGCAGGGCCUGAGGCGCUCCUAUGUGCCAGGCCAGUGUUCCAGCCCUGAGCUACAGCCCAGUGCCCCCUUUCUGCUCUAUGCUAUGCAUAGUGUGCGUAAAAUACCAUCUGUCUUCUAUGGGGAUGCUGCUUGCCUUUGCCCAGACAGUACCCAGGGAGACUCUGGUCAGGACUGAGGAUGGAACCCAGGACCUCACAAUGCCAGGCAAACAUUCCGCCAGUGACACCCACAACUUCGUAUUUUGAGACAGUGUCUGUGAUGACCAUUCUUGGUUGUCAACUCGACUACGCCUGGAAUUAACUGGAACCCAAGCAGCUGGGCAAACCUGUGAGAGGCUUUUCUGGCUUGGAUCACUCGAGGUAGGAAGACCCACCUGAAAUCUGAACCGAACCUUCUGAUGGCAGACUCCAUAAAACAUGGAAGAAGCAAGUUUUUGCUCUUUGCUUGCUUGCCCUCACUUUGGCUUGCCAACUUCAUCUGACCUGUGACCGAGGCAUUCUUUCUUUUGUAUUAGAGCCUGCCUCUUCAGGAUUCCAACGCAGACUGAAGACCAACUGAGACAUCUAGUUCUGUGGACUGAACAACUACUGCAUUGUUGACUUUUCCACUGGGAGACCACCAUUGUUGGACUAGGGACAUCACAGCCUGUCAGCCACUUCAAUAAAUCCUGUGUGUGUGUGUG
ensembl:lncRNA